UACGUAGGGGGCAAGCGUUGUCCGGAUUUAUUGGCGUAAAGCGCGUGUAGGUGGCCAAGUAGGUCCGCUGUGAAAACUUGAGGCUCAACCUCAAGCUGUCGGUGGAAACCCCUUGGCUAGAGUCCGGAAGAGGAGAGUGGAAGUUCCGUCGGUGUAGCGGUGAAAUGCGCAGAUAUCAGGAAGAACACCUAUGGCGAAGGCAGCUCUCGUGGACGGUACUGAC
rnacentral:rRNA from 1 species